AUGAACGCUGGCGGCGUGCCUAAUACAUGCAAGUCGAGCGAACGGACGAGAAGCUUGCUUCUCUGAUGUUAGCGGCGGACGGGUGAGUAACACGUGGAUAACCUACCUAUAAGACUGGGAUAACUUCGGGAAACCGGAGCUAAUACCGGCUAAUAUUUUGAACCGCAUGGUUCAAAAGUGAAAGACGGUCUUGCUGUCACUUAUAGAUGGAUCCGCGCUGCAUUAGCUAGUUGGUAAGGUAACGGCUUACCAAGGCAACGAUGCAUAGCCGACCUGAGAGGGUGAUCGGCCACACUGGAACUGAGACACGGUCCAGACUCCUACGGGAGGCAGCAGUAGGGAAUCUUCCGCAAUGGGCGAAAGCCUGACGGAGCAACGCCGCGUGAUUGAUGAAGGUCUUCGGAUCGUAAAACUCUGUUAUUAGGGAAGAACAUAUGUGUAAGUAACUGUGCACAUCUUGACGGUACCUAAUCAGAAAGCCACGGCUAACUACGUG
rnacentral:rRNA from 1 species